rnacentral:sRNA from 1 species
UAUUCUGCCCCACGGGGAAGGAUGAGAAGCUUCGACUAAGGUUCGACUCGAGCGAAGCGAGAGAACGUUGCCGCAGGCAACGGCCCGAAGAGCGAGGAGCGAUAGCGACGAGUUAUCCUUCCCCACCACCA